AGUUCAAACGUGCGUGUUUAUUACGUUCGCUUAUUAAUUUCCGCUUAUAUUUUUCUUAAAAGUAUUAUUUAACGUAAUAUUAAUACAUCAUAAUAUCAACCUAUUAACUUACAAGACUUCCAAAGUUAUGAUGAUGAAAUUAUGUAUCGUUACAUCGUAAAUAGAUCCUGUAGAUCCAGUUAUCGGCAGAGAAAUUGUCGACAGUGUAAGUCGCUGGUUUCACCUCUUUCAACGAAGCUACGAUACAACGUUCGGUCUUUUUGUGGGGUUGGAUUGCCUUCGUACCAUCCCUAUGACGCCAGGCUAACGUAAAAGGAUGAUUAUACCCUCAGGUGCCGCUCCCUUUUACUUCCUAUGUAUCUACGAACGUGCUUUCUCCGCAUUCUACCAUCUCUCCAAAAAGCAUGUACGCGCGACCAUUUUAACCGAGUCACGAUGAGAAAUCCACACCUGUCUGAACACACGAAGUGUCGUACCACUUAAGCGUCCAGAAACUCCCUGCUUAUGUUCGACGUCAGUUGCUUAUACAGUUUCAACGCUAUUCAGCCUGAUAUCGAUACUCAGCGAAUUCCAAGAAUACAAUGGAAUACAAAGUAACACGCUGGGGACGGCACUCGAGGGAUUCUACGCGUUGCAACGACGUGGGAGGCCGAAAGAGGGACAAGAGGAAAACGUCGCCGAUACUUUACGAUGUACUUUCUAAAGGAGGACUUUACAUAAAAAAAAGAAAAAAAAAAAAAAAGGAAAACAGAAAGGAGAGAAAGAACUGUUUUUCGUUUAUCAAAAAAAAAAGAAAAAAAAUAAAAUAAAAUAAAAUAUAUAUCAGAUCUUUUCAAAUCUCUCGUUUAAGUUAAUAUAACAUAAUGACUUAUCCAUAUUUGUCAAUCAUGGAAAAAAGAAGGAAUAAUUAUUUCUAUUAUAUAUUUUUAUUAUAUAUAAUAAAAUAUCUUUAGAUAAUUCGAUUUGAUUCUAUUGGAAAAAUUUAAUUUCAAUACAAAUCUGUUCACUUAAACUAUUAUUAUUAUUAAUUAACGAUAAACGUUUCAUAUAUCAAUUCACCCUUUCUCGAGUUAAGCUCAGUCUCUUCGAAUAUUUUAUCUGUCAUGUCGGUCUCUCUUAAGGA